AUUGAACGCUGGCGGCAGGCUUAACACAUGCAAGUCGAGCGAGCGGCGGACGGGUGAGUAAUGUCUGGGAAACUGCCUGAUGGAGGGGGAUAACUACUGGAAACUGUAGCUCAUACCGCAUACCAUCAGAUGUGCCCAGAUGGGAUUAGCUAGUAGGUGGAGUAAUGGCUCCCCUAGGCGACGAUCCCUAGCUGGUCUGAGAGGAUUCCAGAACACAAUGGAACGGAGACACGGUCCAGACUCCAACGGGAGGAAGCAGUGGGGAAUAUUGAAAAAUGGGCGCAAGCCUGAUGCAGCCAUGCCGCGUGUGUGAAGAAGGCCUUCGGGUUGUAAAGCACUUUCAGUGAGGAGGCGUUACUCGCAGAAGAAGCACCGGCUAACUCCGUGCCAGCAGCCGCGGUAAUUC
rnacentral:rRNA from 1 species